rnacentral:tRNA from 1 species
GCCCCUCUAGCUCAAUUGGAUAGAGCGCUUGGCUUCGGACCAAGAGGUUGCAGGUUCAAGUCCUACGGGGGGCACCA